rnacentral:rRNA from 1 species
GAUGAACGCUAGCUACAGGCUUAACACAUGCAAGUCGAGGGGUAGCAGGGUAGCAAUACCGCUGACGACCGGCGCACGGGUGAGUAACACGUAUCCAACCUUCCCAUGACUCAGGGAUAGCCUUUCGAAAGAAAGAUUAAUACCUGAUAGUACUUUUUUGAGGCAUCUUGAAAAGUUAAAGAUUUAUCGGUUAUGGAUGGGGAUGCGUUCCAUUAGAUAGUUGGUGAGGUAACGGCUCACCAAGUCUUCGAUGGAUAGGGGGUUCUGAGAGGAAGGUCCCCCACAUUGGUACUGAGACACGGACCAAACACCUACGGGAGGCAG